rnacentral:rRNA from 1 species
UACGAAGGGGGCUAGCGUUGCUCGGAAUCACUGGGCGUAAAGCGCACGUAGGCGGACUCUUAAGUCAGGGGUGAAAUCCUGGAGCUCAACUCCAGAACUGCCUUUGAUACUGGGAGUCUUGAGUUCGGGAGAGGUGAGUGGAACUGCGAGUGUAGAGGUGAAAUUCGUAGAUAUUCGCAAGAACACCAGUGGCGAAGGCGGCUCACUGGACCGGAACUGACGCUGAGGCGCGAAAGCGUGGGGAGCAAACAGGG